rnacentral:rRNA from 1 species
UACGAAGGGAGCUAGCGUUGUUCGGAAUCACUGGGCGUAAAGCGCACGUAGGCGGAUUUGCCAGUCAGGGGUGAAAUCCCGGGGCUCAACCUCGGAACUGCCUUUGAUACAGCAAGUCUUGAGUUCGAGAGAGGUGGGUGGAAUUCCUAGUGUAGAGGUGAAAUUCGUAGAUAUUAGGAAGAGCACCGGUGGCGAAGGCGGCCCACUGGCUCGACACUGACGCUGAGGUGCGAAAGCGUGGGGAGCAAACAGG